UACGAAGGGGGCUAGCGUUGCUCGGAAUCACUGGGCGUAAAGCGCACGUAGGCGGCUUUCUAAGUCAGGGGUGAAAUCCUGGAGCUCAACUCCAGAACUGCCUUUGAUACUGGAGAGCUUGAGUUCGGAAGAGGUGAGUGGAACUCCGAGUGUAGAGGUGAAAUUCGUAGAUAUUCGGAAGAACACCAGUGGCGAAGGCGGCUCACUGGUCCGGUACUGACGCUGAGGUGCGAAAGCGUGGGGAGCAAACAGG
rnacentral:rRNA from 1 species